rnacentral:lncRNA from 1 species
ACAAAUUAUCUCUGAGUCAAAAUUGGUUGGCCUCGAAACUCACUGAACUGUUCUGCAGAUUCCGCUGUGCCCUGUUUCUGCCCUCUGUCACUUGGAACAUAAUAUCUGUAGCUAGGGAAAUGAAAACUGAAAACUGUUUUACCAGCAUGCACUAGACAUCUGAAGGCACAUCUCUGAAAAAUUUCAGCUCAAAAUGACAUGAUAUGUAGAAGAAGUGCCUCUUCAAAGUCAUUGCACAGUAGCAGUCUCUGUUCUGAUCUCCAUGCUUUGACCAUUUAAUAACUACAGUUCCAGUGACUCAAACACGCUAAAAUUUGGAAACAACACAGUAGGCACAUAGGGGUAAUACUCCAAAAUUUUUCAGCUCCAAAUAGCAUCCAUACGGAAAAAUAUGAUCCCCCAAAGUCGACUGAAAAUCUGGACAGAAACUGUUCACUUCCCCAUUCUUGCAUUCUUCACGAUUCCGAUUCCAAACACCUCCCAACCUCCCAAAAGUUACUAUAAAGUCUUAUUCAACACAAAAAGAAGCUAAUAAAAACAGGAAUGUUACCGAUGAUGUGCUAGGGUUGCCUCCCUAGCGAGCGCUUUGUUUAAGGAUGUCGUUGCCGGUCCAUAAGAUGUGAGUUUCAUCAAGUUGGAUACUUCUCAAGUGCGACGACCCUAUUGUUAGGGGCUAAGGGACCCCUUGACAUAUCAUAGAGGCAUGACCAGGAGCUACAAAAGAAUACUCCAUUUUGAGGCCAAAAGAGUAGCCUCUUAGCUUUCCUCUUCUCAAUUCUACUUCGAGGAGCCAUCCUUACCUUCUCCUUCAAGAUAGAUGUAGAAAUGGUGCUNNNNN